CCUACGGGAGGCAGCAGUGAGGAAUAUUGGUCAAUGGCCGGAAGGCUGAACCAGCCAUGCCGCGUGAAGGUCAGUGCCCUAUGGGCGUUAAACUUCUUUUGUGCGGGAGCAAUAAUGGUCACGUGUGGCCAGACGAGAGUACCGUACGAAUAAGCAUUGGCUAACUCCGUGCCAGCAGCCGCGGUAAUACGGGGGAUGCAAGCGUUAUCCGGAUUUAUUGGGGUUAAAGGGUGCGUAGGCUGUGAGGUAAGUCAGCGGUGAAAUGCCCCCGCUCAACGGGGUGAAGUGCCAUUGAUACUGCCUUGCUGGAAUGCGGAUGCCGUGGGAGGAAUGUGUGGUGUAGCGGUGAAAUGCAUAGAUAUCACACAGAACACCGAUUGCGAAGGCAUCUCACGAAUCCGCGAUUGACGCUGAUGCACGAAAGCGUGGGUAUCAAACAGGAUUAGAUACCCCUGUAGUC
rnacentral:rRNA from 1 species